CCUACGGGAGGCAGCAGUGGGGAAUUUUGGACAAUGGGCGCAAGCCUGAUCCAGCCAUGCCGCGUGCGGGAAGAAGGCCUUCGGGUUGUAAACCGCUUUUGUCAGGGAAGAAAUCCUUUGGGUUAAUACCUCGGAGGGAUGACGGUACCUGAAGAAUAAGCACCGGCUAACUACGUGCCAGCAGCCGCGGUAAUACGUAGGGUGCGAGCGUUAAUCGGAAUUACUGGGCGUAAAGCGUGCGCAGGCGGUUAUGCAAGACAGAUGUGAAAUCCCCGGGCUCAACCUGGGAACUGCAUUUGUGACUGCAUAGCUAGAGUACGGUAGAGGGGGAUGGAAUUCCGCGUGUAGCAGUGAAAUGCGUAGAUAUGCGGAGGAACACCGAUGGCGAAGGCAAUCCCCUGGACCUGUACUGACGCUCAUGCACGAAAGCGUGGGGAGCAAACAGGAUUAGAUGCCCUGGUAGUCCACGCCCUAAACGAUGUCAACUGGUUGUUGGACGGCUUGCUGUUCAGUAACGAAGCUAACGCGUGAAGUUGACCGCCUGGGGAGUACGGCCGCAAGGUUGAAACUCAAAUGAAUUGACGG
rnacentral:rRNA from 1 species